rnacentral:rRNA from 1 species
GCUUCCAUGCAGUCGAGGGGCGCAUUUCAGUUUGNUUGCAAACUGGAGAUGGCGACCGGCGCACNGGUGAGUAACACGCUAUCCNACCUGCCGAUAACUCGGGGANAGCCUUUCGAAAGAAAGAUUAAUACCCGAUGGUAUAAUCAGACCGCAUGGUCUUGUUAUUAANGAAUUUCGGUUAUCGAUGGGGAUGCGUUCCAUUAGGCAGUUGGUGAGGUAACGGCUCACCAAACCUUCGAUGGAUAGGGGUUCUGAGAGGAAGGUCCCCCACAUUGGAACUGAGACACGGUCCAAACUCCUACGGGAGGCAGCAGUGAGGAAUAUUGGUCAAUGGGCGCAGGCCUGAACCAGCCAAGUAGCGUGAAGGAUGACUGCCCUAUGGGUUGUAAACUUCUUUUAUAUGGGAAUAAAGUUUUCCACGUGUGGAAUUUUUGUAUGUACCAUAUGAAUAAGGAUCGGCUAACUCCGUGCCAGCAGCCGCGGUAAUACGGAGGAUCCGAGCGUUAUCCGGAUUUAUUGGGUUUAAAGGGAGCGUAGGUGGACAGUUAAGUCAGUUGUGAAAGUUUGCGGCUCAACCGUAAAAUUGCAGUUGAUACUGGCUGUCUUGAGUACAGUAGAGGUGGGCGGAAUUCGUGGUGUAGCGGUGAAAUGCUUAGAUAUCACGAAGAACUCCGAUUGCGAAGGCAGCUCACUGGACUGCAACUGACACUGAUGCUCGAAAGUGUGGGUAUCAAACAGGAUUAGAUACCCUGGUAGUCCACACAGUAAACGAUGAAUACUCGCUGUUUGCGAUAUACAGUAAGCGGCCAAGCGAAAGCAUUAAGUAUUCCACCUGGGGGAGUACGCCGGCAACGGUGAAACUCAAAGGAAUUGACGGGGGCCCGCACAAGCGGAGGAACAUGUGGUUUAAUUCGAUGAUACGCGAGGAACCUUACCCGGGCUUAAAUUGCAUUUGAAUAUAUUGGAAACAGUAUAGCCGUAAGGCAAAUGUGAAGGUGCUGCAUGGUUGUCGUCAGCUCGUGCCGUGAGGUGUCGGCUUAAGUGCCAUAACGAGCGCAACCCUUAUCUUUAGUUACUAACAGGUCAUGCUGAGGACUCUAGAGAGACUGCCGUCGUAAGAUGUGAGGAAGGUGGGGAUGACGUCAAAUCAGCACGGCCCUUACGUCCGGGGCUACACACGUGUUACAAUGGGGGGUACAGAAGGCAGCUACCUGGUGACAGGAUGCUAAUCCCAAAAGCCUCUCUCAGUUCGGAUCGAAGUCUGCAACCCGACUUCGUGAAGCUGGAUUCGCUAGUAAUCGCGCAUCAGCCAUGGCGCGGUGAAUACGUUCCCGGGCCUUGUACACACCGCCCGUCAAGCCAUGAAAGCCGGGGGUACCUGAAGUACGUAACCGCAAGGAGCUCCUAGG